GUCCCCGUAGCUCAGUGGACAGAGCAACCGCCUUCUAAGCGGAAGGUCCUGGGUUCGAAUCCCAGCGGGGGCGCCA
rnacentral:tRNA from 1 species